GACGAACGCUGGCGGCGUGCUUAACACAUGCAAGUCGAACGGAAAGGCCCUGCUUUUGUGGGGUGCUCGAGUUGCGAACGGGUGAGUAACACGUGAGUAACCUGCCCUUGACUUUGGGAUAACUUCAUGAAACUGGGGCUAAUACCGGAUAGGAGCUCCUGCUUCAUGGUGGGGGUUGGAAAGUUUCGGCGGUUGGGGAUGGACUCGCGGCUUAUCAGCUUGUUGGUGGGGUAGUGGCUUACCAAGGCUUUGACGGGUAGCCGGCCUGAGAGGGUGACCGGACACACUGGGACUGAGAUACGGCCCAGACGACUACGGGAGGCAGCAGUGGAGAGUAGUGCACAAUGGGCGGAAGCAUGAUGCAGCAACGCCGCGUGCGGGAUGACGGCCUUCGGGUUGUAAACCGAUUUCGCCUGUGACGAAGCGUGAGUGACGGUAAUGGGUAAAGAAGCACCGGCUAACUACGUG
rnacentral:rRNA from 1 species